CCUACGGGAGGCUGCAGUAGGGAAUUUUCGGCAAUGGGGGGAACCCUGACCGAGCAACGCCGCGUGAAGGAAGAAGGAAUUCGUUCUGUAAACUUCUGUUAUAAAGGAAGAAAGACGGAUGGAGGAAAUGACAUCCGAGUUACGGUACUUGAUGAGAAAGCCACGGGAAACUCCGUGCCAGCAGCCGCGGUAAUACGUAGGUGGCAUGUGUUAGCCGGAAUUAUUGGGCGAAAAGAGGGAGCAGGCGGCAGCAAAGGUCUGUGGUAAAAGACCGGAGCUUAACUUCAGUAAGCCAUAGAAACCGGGCAGCUAGAGUGCAGGAGAGGACCGUGGAAUUCCAUGUGUAGCGGUGAAAUGCGUAGAUAUAUGGAGGAACCCCAGUGGCGAAGGCGACGAUCUGGCCUGCAACUGACGCUCAGUCCCGAAAGCGUGGGGAGCAAAUAGGAUUAGAUACCCGUGUAGUC
rnacentral:rRNA from 1 species